rnacentral:misc_RNA from 1 species
AUAAAAGGAUACCCUCGGGCUAAUAUCCCACCCUUUGUUUACAUUACCUUUGUUGCUUUGGCAGGCCCGUCCUCGGACCGCUGGCUUCGGCUAGUCCGUGCCUGCUAGAGGACCUAAAACUCUUGUUAAUAAUAUUGUCUGAGUACUAUAUAAUAGUUA